rnacentral:miRNA from 1 species
AUGACAUCAUGCGUAUGGCUGC